UGUUAAUUGAAUCUGUGCUUCUGAGAUUAUACUUUCACAUUAUUUAUGUUCAGAAGUACUUCUUUUCUUUAGUUCCUUGAAAUUUUAUUUCCUUUCUUGUUUAAUUUGAUUUUAAGAUAAUCCAUAGAUGGUGAGCAUCUCUAUGCCCAGAGCUUGUCUGACUUUCAUAAAAGCUCCCUGGGGGCAGAAUUGGGAGGGAGAAAUGGGAUUGUUG
rnacentral:lncRNA from 1 species